rnacentral:rRNA from 1 species
AUACAUAGGGGGCGAGCGUUGUCCGGAAUGACUGGGCGUAAAGGGAGUGUAGGCGGUUAUGCAAGUUACAUGUGAAAGCCCGAGGCUUAACCUCGGAACUGCAUGUAAAACUACAUAACUUGAGUGUGGGAGAGGAAAGUGGAAUUCCUAGUGUAGCGGUGGAAUGCGUAGAUAUUAGGAGGAACACCAGCGGCGAAGGCGGCUUUCUGGACCAUAACUGACGCUGAGGCUCGAAAGCGUGGGGAGCAAACAGGAUUAGAUACCCUGGUAGUCCACGCCGUAAACGAUGGAUACUAGACGCAGGAGGUAUCGGCUCCUACUGUGUCUGAAGCUAACGCAAUAAGUAUCCCGCCUGGGGAGUACGGCCGCAAGGUUGAA